CUGCACUGACUGCUGAAGACGGUGCACCGACUGCACUAGAAGACCUUGUUGCUCCAAGAAUUAAUUUUGAUGAUUUCAAAAUAUUUGAGGGGGUUACUAAUGAUUUUGACUUGAAAAAAAUUUAUUAUAUUUCAGGGAUAAAAUCAUAAUUUUAUCAAAUUCUGAUAAUUUUAUCAAAUUCUGAUUUGAAAGCCUCAAGAACAAGAACAGAAGAUUUAUGAUCUAUUGGAGGUAAUUUUAUAUUUUUUAGAUGUAUAUUUUGAGAAAAAAUUAAGUUUAAAGAAAAGGAUAGACCCUAUG
rnacentral:lncRNA from 1 species